GACGAACGCUGGCGGCGCGCUUAACACAUGCAAGUCGAGCGAUGAAAUUUCGACAGAUCCCUUCGGGGUGAAGAUGAAAUGGAUUAGCGGCGGACGGGUGAGUAACACGUGAGUAACCUGCCUUUGACAUUGGGAUAGCCUCGGGAAACUGGGAUUAAUACCAAAUGACACUAACUGAUCACAUGACCAAUUAGUCAAAGAAAUUCGGUCAAAGAUGGACUCGCGGCUGAUUAGCUAGUUGGUGAGGUAACGGCCCACCAAGGCGACGAUCAGUAGCCGGCCUGAGAGGGUGAUCGGCCACAUUGGAACUGAGACACGGUCCAAACUCCUACGGGAGGCAGCAGUGGGGAAUAUUGCACAAUGGGGGAAACCCUGAUGCAGCGACGCCGCGUGAGCGAAGAAGGCCUUCGGGUCGUAAAGCUCUUUUAUGAGGGAAGAUAAUGACGGUACCUCAAGAAAAAGCCCCGGCUAACUACGUG
rnacentral:rRNA from 1 species